GACGAACGCUGGCGGCGUGCCUAAUACAUGCAAGUAGAACGCUGAAGGAGGAGCUUGCUUCUCUGGAUGAGUUGCGAACGGGUGAGUAACGCGUAGGUAACCUGCCUGGUAGCGGGGGAUAACUAUUGGAAACGAUAGCUAAUACCGCAUAAUAGUAGAUGUUGCAUGACAUUUGCUUAAAAGGUGCAAUUGCAUCACUACCAGAUGGACCUGCGUUGUAUUAGCUAGUUGGUGGGGUAACGGCCCACCAAGGCGACGAUACAUAGCCGACCUGAGAGGGUGAUCGGCCACACUGGGACUGAGACACGGCCCAGACUCCUACGGGAGGCAGCAGUAGGGAAUCUUCGGCAAUGGACGGAAGUCUGACCGAGCAACGCCGCGUGAGUGAAGAAGGUUUUCGGAUCGUAAAGCUCUGUUGUAAGAGAAGAACGAGUGUGAGAGUGGAAAGUUCACACUGUGACGGUAUCUUACCAGAAAGGGACGGCUAACUACGUG
rnacentral:rRNA from 1 species